GAGUUUGAUCUUGGCUCAGAUUGAACGCUGGCGGCAGGCCUAACACAUGCAAGUCGAGCGGAUGACGGGAGCUUGCUCCUUGAUUCAGCGGCGGACGGGUGAGUAAUGCCUAGGAAUCUGCCUGGUAGUGGGGGACAACGUUUCGAAAGGAACGCUAAUACCGCAUACGUCCUACGGGAGAAAGCAGGGGACCUUCGGGCCUUGCGCUAUCAGAUGAGCCUAGGUCGGAUUAGCUAGUUGGUGGGGUAAUGGCUCACCAAGGCGACGAUCCGUAACUGGUCUGAGAGGAUGAUCAGUCACACUGGAACUGAGACACGGUCCAGACUCCUACGGGAGGCAGCAGUGGGGAAUAUUGGACAAUGGGCGAAAGCCUGAUCCAGCCAUGCCGCGUGUGUGAAGAAGGUCUUCGGAUUGUAAAGCACUUUAAGUUGGGAGGAAGGGCAGUAAGUUAAUACCUUGCUGUUUUGACGUUACCGACAGAAUAAGCACCGGCUAACUACGUGCCAGCAGCCG
rnacentral:rRNA from 1 species